AGUGAACGCUGGCGGUAGGCCUAACACAUGCAAGUCGAACGGCAGCACAGUAAGAGCUUGCUCUUACGGGUGGCGAGUGGCGGACGGGUGAGGAAUACAUCGGAAUCUACUUUUUCGUGGGGGAUAACGUAGGGAAACUUACGCUAAUACCGCAUACGACCUACGGGUGAAAGCAGGGGAUCUUCGGACCUUGCGCGAUUGAAUGAGCCGAUGUCGGAUUAGCUAGUUGGCGGGGUAAAGGCCCACCAAGGCGACGAUCCGUAGCUGGUCUGAGAGGAUGAUCAGCCACACUGGAACUGAGACACGGUCCAGACUCCUACGGGAGGCAGCAGUGGGGAAUAUUGGACAAUGGGGGCAAGCCUGAUCCAGCCAUACCGCGUGGGUGAAGAAGGCCUUCGGGUUGUAAAGCCCUUUUGUUGGGAAAGAAAAGCAGCAGGUUAAUACCCCGCUGUCCUGACGGUACCCAAAGAAUAAGCACCGGCUAACUUCGUG
rnacentral:rRNA from 1 species